rnacentral:rRNA from 1 species
GAUAAACGCUGGCGGCGUGCCUAAAACAUGCAAGUCGAACGGCUCACUUCGGUGGGUAGUGGCGAACGGCUGAGUAACACGUGGGUGACCUGCCUUCGAACGGGGGAGUAACUGCCCGAAAGGGUGGCUAAUACCGCAGAUGUCUGUGCUUCGGUGUGCAGACUGAACUUGAGGGGUUCGGAGAGGGGCCUGCGUCCGAUUAGCUAGCUGGUGGGGUAACGGCCUACCAGGGCGACGAUCGGUAGCUGGUCUGAGAGGAUGAUCAGCCAGACUGGGACUGCGAACGGCCCAGACUCCUACGGGAGGCAGCAGUUAGGAAUUUUGGGCAAUGGGCGAAAGCCUGACCCAGCAACGCCGCGUGGGUGAUGAAGGCCCUCGGGUCGUAAAGCCCUUUUCCAGGGGAAGAUAGUGACGGUACCCUGGGAAUCAGCCCCGGCUAACUACGUG